CUCCUCUCUUCCCCUCCCGAACAGAACAGAGAGCUCUCGGGUGGAGAGGCUCAACCCGCGUCCAUCACACUCCGGCGGCGCCGCAGCUCGUCCUUCCCCUGCAGUCUUCCCUAACCUUAGAUCGACGGGGCCGCCGCCAUCUCAUCUCCUCUUCCAGAAAGCGGGAGUAGUAGUGAAGACCACGAUGGGAUGCUACUCUUUCGGUGAUGAAGGGGCGGCAGGCAAAGUGGCGGGGGCGGGAACCCCUGCCUCACGAUGCACCAGCCGUGGGCGUCGCUGCUGGUGCACGGCAUCAAGCGCGUGGAGGGCCGCUCCUGGCCGUCCCCGGUCACGGGCCGCCUCUGGAUCCACGCCGCCUCCAAGGUGCCUGACCCGGACACCGUCGCCGCCAUGGAGGCCUUCUACCGGGAGAUCCACGCCGUCGACGGGGUCACCCACAUCGACUUCCCCCAGCACUACCCCAUCUCCCGCCUCCUCGGUCAGCCUCCUUCCUACCCAUCGUCUUCCUCACUGCUACUGCUGUUCCUCCUUAGUCAAUAGUCGGUCCUCGCCAGUGCCCGCUCCCAAAUCUGUGCAAAGAACUCUAUUUUUUUCUGCUGCUAACACAAGACUCGAAGAGAAAAAUCCCUAUGCAUACCGUGCAACUGACUCUAAAAUCACUAUAGUUUCGUACAAUGAAUUUGCAACUCUAAAAUCAUCCGUCAUGAGAAAGUGGACAUUCAGUUCAGAUAUGACACUCCUAGAGCCCCGUUGUAUAAUAUCAUAUCGGAUAUCUGAGAAUUGAGAAUCAGUAACUAAUUUAAUUGCUACUCAAUUACGUUUUGCGUGGACUAAGAACCGGAUAUCUUAGAUCAGCGCUUGUCUCCGUUGUAACUUUAUAACACUCUGUAAAUGCAUUGGGUCUGCUCGGUGCUACUAAUAAGAGGCCUGUGCGCGCGCGCUUGUGUAGACUUCCCUUGCCAUUGUCUUUAUGCAGUCAAUUGGACCUUGAGCAGAGCUAGCUGCCUCAGUUGCCUGACUUUGGAAGGAGAGAGAGGGCACCUUCCAGCCAUCACAUGGCAAGACGUCUCGGCACUUUGACUCAAUGGCCACGAGAAUGGAUGGGCAGCUUGGAGGUAUGGCCUUUUUAUUUGUUCUUCACGUGUUUACAGUUUUUUUCCUUCCCGCUGUUUGUUUCGGGUUCAGAAAUGAAGGAUGCCAUGCUUUUUUAAUCUUAAGCUAACGACAUGAUCAUAAUGAACCAGCAUAUCAUUUGUUUGGUUGGUUCUCAGAUUCUUUUGUGUUAUUUCCAAGUGGUGUGUUUUAAUCACCUACACAUCUGAACCAGCAUAUCCAGUAGGUACAAUAUACUCUACCUGCAGAAGAGUAUUGUAAUGUAGCUGUUCCUCAAAAGUAUUCAGUAGUCACAACCCAUGGCAUGUCCAAUCUUAAGCCCACUCAUGAUCACAUCGCAGAAUUGGUGUAUCGGCAUUUUUUUCAUAAACUUAUACUCGUUAGGUAAAUCUUGUCUUUUCUGGUACCAAACUACAAUGACUCUCUGCUAGCAAAAUGAGCACACAUACCUUAAUAUUAGCUCUUCCGUGUUGUCAGACAAAAAUGUCUCAUUAUCUUUACCAUUUUUGAUUGUUAUGGGGGAAAGAAUAGAAAAUCUCUUUUAGGGGAAAUGAUCACAUGUUAUUUCUUGCUUCCAGUAUUUGUUGGUCUGUACGAAAGAAGUUGAUAAUAAGCAUUGAGACCACCAGCAAACGAUUUGGACCCUGUGGAAAGGCCAUUCUUUCUUUUUGUGUAGAUUUUAGUUUUUGUUUAUUAUCCAUAUUGAUAAUAGUAAUAGAAUUGUUAAACUUUCUUCCAAAACUAAAGUAUACUCUCUUUUGAAGUUCAUGGUUUACUGGCGAUGGCUCUUUUUCGGUGCUAUCCGUGCAUCUGAAGGUCUACUCUUGCCAGUGGAAGUGCUCAAACUCUUAGCCAAGUGUGCCCAUUUUUUUUGCUGCGAAUUUAUUAUUGUUACUGUUUACAAGUUAUUUUGCAAAAUACUGCAAAAUAUAAACAUGGACAUAUUCUUUUGUAACACGUUCUGGUUGCCUUGCGCCCCAUAAUUUCAUGGCAUGUAUGUUCUAGAGUUUAUCUUGA